AUUGAACGCUGGCGGCAUGCUUUACACAUGCAAGUCGAACGGUAACAGGCCGCAAGGUGCUGACGAGUGGCGAACGGGUGAGUAAUGCAUCGGAACGUGCCCAGUCGUGGGGGAUAACGCAGCGAAAGCUGUGCUAAUACCGCAUACUAUCUGUGGAUGAAGGCGGGGGACCUUCGGGCCUCGCGCGAUUGGAGCGGCCGAUGUCAGAUUAGGUAGUUGGUGGGGUAAAGGCUCACCAAGCCGACGAUCUGUAGCUGGUCUGAGAGGACGACCAGCCACACUGGGACUGAGACACGGCCCAGACUCCUACGGGAGGCAGCAGUGGGGAAUUUUGGACAAUGGGCGCAAGCCUGAUCCAGCAAUGCCGCGUGCAGGAAGAAGGCCUUCGGGUUGUAAACUGCUUUUGUACGGAGCGAAAAGGCUCCCUCUAAUACAGGGGGCUCAUGACGGUACCGUAAGAAGAAGCCCCGGCUAACUUCGUGCCAGCCGCCGCCGUAAGAC
rnacentral:rRNA from 1 species